CGAGCUGAUCGCCACAAACCCGUAGAUUCGAACUUGGGGGGGGCUGAAAUCCGAACACAAGGUCGCUUCUGUGGGUGUGUGGAGGUCACGCAAA
rnacentral:pre_miRNA from 1 species